CGGGUCGCAGCAGUGGGGAAUAUUGGACAAUGGGCGAAAGCCUGAUCCAGCCAUGCCGCGUGAGUGAUGAAGGCCCUAGGGUUGUAAAGCUCUUUUGUGCGGGAAGAUAAUGACGGUACCGCAAGAAUAAGCCCCGGCUAACUUCGUGCCAGCAGCCGCGGUAAUACGAAGGGGGCUAGCGUUGCUCGGAAUCACUGGGCGUAAAGGGUGCGUAGGCGGGUCUUUAAGUCAGGGGUGAAAUCCUGGAGCUCAACUCCAGAACUGCCCUUGAUACUGAGGAUCUUGAGUAUGGGAGAGGUGAGUGGAACUGCGAGUGUAGAGGUGAAAUUCGUAGAUAUUCGCAAGAACACCAGUGGCGAAGGCGGCUCACUGGCCCAUUACUGACGCUGAGGCACGAAAGCGUGGGGAGCAAACAGGAUUAGAUACCCCCGU
rnacentral:rRNA from 1 species